rnacentral:tRNA from 1 species
GGGGGUACAGCUCAGUGGUACAGCACAUGCUUAGCAUGUAUGAGGCCUUGGGUUCAUUUCCCAGCAUCACCA